rnacentral:tRNA from 1 species
GCAGCGUUAGCUUAACGGAAAAGCAUCUCCUGUGGAAGGGGAUUGUUGUGCGGUUCGAGUCCGAUCACGCUGCC